CGCGAAAGAAGUCCGGUAGCGAAGAAGAGAAGGAGAAGGAUAACUUUGCUAACAAACAUGCCGGAGGCACACAAACGAAUACGAAUCGACAACAUGAAUGUGGUAGAUCAUCUAUUGGAGCACAGAUUUGAGACCCUUAUUCUGGAGGAAAAUGUUUGAGUGUCUGCUGUCCUGGCAGGUCCUUGUGGGUGGAGGGCUGAAGAAUGGGAAACACCAAGCCAGGGCUACAAACAGCAUGGUGGGACACUUGACUAAGAUAGCCGGGAGCAGGCGGAGUCAACGUCUACAAAGAUCGCCACGACUGUGAAAAUAAAUAGAUGACGUCACGAACACUGGAAUCCAUCUGUGCCGCCCAGUUGAUCACCGAGGACGAGGGCUUGGGUCGGCUGGCCCACACGGUGCAAGUCUUGGUGGACCUUGCGCCGACUGCUGCCAGCCACCGCCGCGCUAGCAGACCGGAGCCGCUAGGGGCGGACAGGCUAAGCACUGCUCCAUCCUUCUCUUGAAAGUUAAAGAUGGAUUUCUAAAAACAGGCGUUUAGUUCGAUUUUUUUGGUUUUCAAGGAGGCCUAUAUAAAUUAUGGGAAGUGGAAGUCGAGCAACUUGUUUUAAAGUUGAUUCAUAGUUUUUUUUUGUUAGGAUCUUUAACUUUAAACAUUUUUUUACUCGUCAAACAUCUAAUUAUCAUGCAAUAGGCCUAUCUCACAAAAAUCGGAAAUGACGUCACACCGGGUAAACAUUCUUCCGGCAAAGUCAUUUCAGCUGUUGGCAUCAACACAAAAAUGCAGCGUUUCUUCGCCACUUCCCUGGUGGGUUUUCCAAAAUUACGAUUUGAAGAUGUGCAGAAGAUUGUGGAGUCACACUCAGCAACACCACAGUCCAGGCUGAGAAAGGGGUACAAGUUCUUUGUGGAGGAGUUCGUACACAAUUAUCAAGAUCACCCUGGAGGCUGUUGGACAACUUGGUCCCUCAGAGCACAGUAGCUGUGCUGCGGGCAAAGGCUUCUGUAGCCAUGUAACCGCUCUGCUCUUCCAGACAGCGCAUUAUGUGCAGCUGGGCCUUGAGGUGGUUCCACCUUCCCUGGUCUGUACCAGUCAACCACAGAUGUGGCAUCAACCUAGAACACAGGGAAUCCAUCCGGAGGCUGUGAGUGACAUUGUGGUGAAAAAAAGCCAAGUCAGUGGGGAAGAGUCAAGUACACACUCUACAGAGCGUAUGCUGCUAAGACAUUUUUUUUGCAAUUUGCACUCUGUUAAACUUCCUCAUUAUGACAAGAUGCAUAUUAGAAUAUAUCUGUUAUCACUACAAUAUUAAAAAAAACAGUCCCAUUUUUAUUUGACGUUUCCUCUAGGGCCCCUACCAGAACAACACAUCUUGGUGUCGGGAGCAAAGCUGAGUGAGAUUCACCCCUCGCCCUUUGAUGUCCCAAAUCCUAGAGGGAAUAUCCAGCUUGGAGUUGGUUCCAUCUCAGCUGUGCUGACCUGGAAGAUGUCAGCAAUGACCUGUUCUUUAAGGCCAGUUGCUACUCUACAACAGUAGAUGACAAACUCAUCAAUGACUGGAAUCUUCCUUGAAGGCCUUGGUGUUGGAAUCGCCUCUUGUCCAAUCCUCUGUGCUUUGCUCCAAUAAACAAUAUAUUGUGUUGAGGGGCAAACAGAC
ensembl:lncRNA